CAUCCCAACUUCUGUUCAAGCAACAUUCCCCUACGUCUUUGCUGUUAGCCAGUACCUACAGGUACACACACACCCCCCACAACUAAACACACAUUUUAAAUAAAUAACAGUAAACUAACUCCGUCUUGCUUUAAUUUUGCACAGCCUGGAGCAUUUGAUCUGGUGGGUUAUGUCAUCUACGACGUGGAAGGGAAGCCAUACCAGAGUGUCUUCUACAAUGGAACCAUUGAGGUUGUUGAAUCCGGAGGUCUUCUCAGCGGUGAGUCUGUCUUCCUCAUAACACUUGGGAUUGCUCUCCUCCUCCUCCUCGGUCUAUGGGCAUACAGCCAAGUUCAGCGUCUCACCA
rnacentral:lncRNA from 1 species